AUUGAACGCUGGCGGCAGGCCUAACACAUGCAAGUCGAGCGGGGUUUUCGGACCUAGCGGCGGACGGGUGAGUAAUGCGUAGGAAGCUGCCCGAUAGAGGGGGAUACCAGUUGGAAACGACUGUUAAUACCGCAUAAUGUCUACGGACCAAAGUGUGGGACCUUCGGGCCACAUGCUAUCGGAUGCGCCUACGUGGGAUUAGCUAGUUGGUGAGGUAAUGGCUCACCAAGGCGACGAUCUCUAGCUGGUUUGAGAGGAUGAUCAGCCACACUGGAACUGAGACACGGUCCAGACUCCUACGGGAGGCAGCAGUGGGGAAUAUUGGACAAUGGGCGCAAGCCCGAUCCAGCCAUGCCGCGUGUGUGAAGAAGGCCUUCGGGUUGUAAAGCACUUUCAGCGAGGAGGAAGGGAUGUAUGUAAAUAGCAUGCAUUUUUGACGUUACUCGCAGAAGAAGCACCGGCUAACUCUGUGCCAGCCGCCGCUGUAAAAC
rnacentral:rRNA from 1 species